AGAACAGAUUCAUGGGUGAUUUAGCCUAUCUGUCCCAGGCCAGGGUGGCUGAGUGUGCUGACUGGAGGCCUCUCUCUCUGCUUCGAGUGUAGCUGAGAUCCACCCCGGAAACCGGCACGAUGAAGGGAGCAAGUGAGGAGAAGCUGGCAUCUGUGUCCAACCUGGUCACUGUGUUUGAGAAUAGCAGGACCCCAGAAGCAGCACCCAGAGGCCACAGGCUAGAGGACGUGCAUCACUGCCCUGAGCACAGGCCUCCCGAGUCCCCAGGACCACGGGGGAAGGUGAAUGUUGGGGAGGCCGUGGGGUCUGAGCCCAGGACAGUCAGCAGGAGGUACCUGAACUCCCUGAAGAACAAGCUGUCCAGCGGAGCCUGGAGGAAAUCUUGCCAGCCUGCGACCCUCUCAGGAUCGGGGACGCAGGAGCCAGAGAAGAAGAUCGUCCAGGAGCUGCUGGAGACAGAGCAGGCCUAUGUGGCGCGCCUCCACCUGCUGGACCAGGCCAGUGGCCAGGACACCCCCCUCCAGAGCCCCAGCCCUGGAUCUCCUCACCACACCCCUUCUCAGCCUUCCCACUCUGCUCACCAGAGCUGAGUCAGGACCCCUGGCUUUGACUCCAGGAAGCCUUAGCCCUUUAACCUCAACAGCUGGGGUUGGGGUAGAAUCAGGAAGUCUUGUUAGCAGCACUCCCCAUUCUGCCCGUGGUGCCCAGGCUGGCCCCUGUAUAGCAGAGAACACACCAGCUGGCCCUUGCAGGCCUUCAUAGUAUCCUCAUCUGUCAUCUCAAUGCCCACAACCUCACAACGAUCUUACCUUUCAUAGUUUUUAAGGAGCCCUAAGGCUAGAGGGUUAUUCAUCGUCGCAGGGAGCCCUAGUCUGAUGAAGUCCAAGACCUCCACAAGUUGGGCCUGUUUAUGGCAUUCAUCAGCUGCCAGCCUUUGGCCAAGUCCCUGCAUCUCUAGGCUUUGCCUUGCUCAUCUGUAAAGUGGCGAGAACACAACCUCCCCUGCCUUC
rnacentral:sRNA from 1 species